GGAUGAACUGAGUUGCAGUCUCAUUAUGGUUACCUGCCAAGUCUUGAUCCUGACACCGGUCAUUGUUUUGAACAUGUUGACAUCUCUUACAGUGAUGUUGGAGACACAUGCCUUGGUGUUGUACCUUCCUAGGCCACCAAUGCUGAUCCCAUGGCCUGGUCCACAGUUCACAUUAUGUAUGUUUACGUCGCUGCAGCCUGUCUGUAUGGAGAUGCAGUCAUCACCUGCAUUGCACAAGGUGUAUUCCAUCCGUGUUGGGGCUAUUCUCAGGGGACGAGAUGGUCAGAUUAUGAACCAUGACUCCCUGACAGCUAUCGAACUUCAGAUGGCACUGCGGGCUGUUGAUGAUGCUGAUACCAGUUACUCUGACAUUGGAACUGCCAUAAAACCUUAGCGCCUGCAUAGCAGAGUACGCAACCACUCGCUACUUAAUUUGGUCUGAUAUGCAACGUCAAAGAUAUUCAAGUUCUGCAAUAGUGACUUAAUAAUAUGCUUACCGUGGGUUUAAUCUGUGGCAUUUUCUCCAGCUCCUGAUCAGUGUACUGUUGGAAGCAUCCAAAGUGCAAAUGUUCUUUACUUGGGAGCAGUGCUGAUGGUUACCUGGGUAUCAUCCGUAACUCCGUCACCCCGUGCUCCGAAAGCAACCACGCUGAACACCAUGCCCUGCGAUGGCGCUUCCGGUGGCGGCGACGGCGGUGCUUGUGGUGGUGGUGGAGACGGCGACGCGUGGCCAUUACCACCACCUGGACUAGGUGGUGCCGGCAUUGCAGGACUCUGGUGCCCUUUGCCGUACUG